GCCCCGUUGGCUCAGUGGUAAAGCGUAUCACUAGUAAUGAUAAGAUCACUGGUUGGUUCGAUUCCAGUACGGGGCA
rnacentral:tRNA from 1 species